rnacentral:misc_RNA from 1 species
AAGUCGUAACAAGGUUUCCGUAGGUGAACCUGCGGAAGGAUCAUUAACACGUAUCCAACGUUAAACCCCCCUGUGAACUUUUAUACUUGCUCUCUUAACUGACGGAAUUGCAAUCCCUGGUAAAUCAUUGUUGAACAGAUUUUGAUUCAGGGACCUCAGUUUGACAGUUAGGAUUGAGCGAUCGUUGCAAGUGGCCUGGUUUCCCCAAGCAGUCAGUGUCUGAAAGUGGCAUUGAUUGUGUAAGGAUAACGCUUUUCGAUCACUAGAGGCCGACACCGGCCGUGACCAGGUCGCCGUGGCUUCGGCCCCCUAUAUUAACCCCACUACCUGAUUCCGCCUCGUAGGAAACUGCUGGGCAACAAAACGAACAACUGUUAACAAUGGAUAUCUUGGUUCUC